rnacentral:rRNA from 1 species
CACGUAGGGGGCAAGCGUUGUCCGGAUUUAUUGGGCGUAAAGAGCUCGUAGGCGGCUCGGUAAGUCGGGUGUGAAACUCAGGGCUCAACCCUGAGACGCCACUCGAUACUGCUGUGGCUUGAGUCCGGUAGGGAGCGUGGAAUUCCUGGUGUAGCGGUGAAAUGCGCAGAUAUCAGGAGGAACACCGGUGGCGAAGGCGGCGCUCUGGGCCGGUACUGACGCUGAGGAGCGAAAGCGUGGGGAGCAAACAGG